rnacentral:rRNA from 1 species
AGUGAACGCUGGCGGUAGGCCUAACACAUGCAAGUCGAACGGCAGCACAGUAAGAGCUUGCUCUUACGGGUGGCGAGUGGCGGACGGGUGAGGAAUACAUCGGAAUCUACUUUUUCGUGGGGGAUAACGUAGGGAAACUUACGCUAAUACCGCAUACGACCUACGGGUGAAAGCAGGGGAUCUUCGGACCUUGCGCGAUUGAAUGAGCCGAUGUCGGAUUAGCUAGUUGGCGGGGUAAAGGCCCACCAAGGCGACGAUCCGUAGCUGGUCUGAGAGGAUGAGAGGGAACAGUGGAACUGAGUCAAGGACCAGACUCCUACGGAAGGCAGCGGUGGGGAGGAUUGGAAAAUGGGCGCAAGCCUGAUCCAGCCAUACCGCGGGAAUGAAGAAGGACUUCGGCUUCUGAGGCCAUUUUGUGGGGAAAGAAAAGCAGCAGGUUAAUACCCCGCUGUUCGGACGGUACCCAAAGAAUAGGCACCGGCUAACUUCGUG